rnacentral:tRNA from 1 species
AGGAGAGUAGCUCAACUGGCAGAGCACCGGUCUCCAAAACCGGGGGUUGCAGGUUCGAGACCUGUCUCUCCUGCCA